CUUUGAGUCCCAAUGCAGCCCACUUUUGGCUGUGAAAACUUGACCACUGUGACUCCAUCUGGGAUCUUUUCCCUGUCUGUGUGCUUAAUAUUCCUAUCGCCUGCAUUAUUAGAAAGGAGUCAUAAAUUCUUUAGAGCUAUGUUAAAGGGGUGUUUAUUGUACAUUAACCAAAUCAUAGAGGAAAACGCAGUGACUUCACUGAAAAGAAAAACAUGGAGCCUUCCCUAUUUACCUGUUGUGCAAAUAACAGGAUUUCCUUCUUUUUAAAGGCUUGGUAGUAUUCCGCUGUGUAUCUAUACCACAUCUUUAUCUGUCCAUCUGGUUAUGAAUACUUAUUUCUCAAGUUUGGUAAAUAUAAUCUUAAUUUAAUUUUCCAAGAAAGCCUUCAAGAGUAAUUUCCUG